UACAGAGGGUGCGAACGUUGUUCGGAUUUACUGGGCGUAAAGCGCGUGUAGGCGGUCUCGCAAGUCGGGUGUGAAAGCCCAGGGCUCAACCCUGGAAGUGCAUUCGAUACUGCGAGGCUAGAGUCCCGGAGAGGAUGGUGGAACUCUCGGUGUAGAGGUGAAAUUCGUAGAUAUCGAGAAGAACACCGGUGGCGAAGGCGGCCAGUCUGGACGGUGACUGACGCUGAGGUGCGAAAGCGUGGGGAGCAAACAGG
rnacentral:rRNA from 1 species